UACAUUCCAUGAUGUCCAGCACUGGGCUCUGAUCACUCUGGAGGCACAGUUUUCCCCAAGACCAUGGCUACCUGGGGAUCUGAGAGAAAA